CCUACGGGUGGCUGCAGUGGGGAAUAUUGCUCAAUGGGCUAAAGCCUGACGCAGCCACGCCGCGUGAGGGAUGAAUGUCCUCUGAUCUGUAACCUCUUUCAGCAGGGAAGCACCGUCACUUUGCUAUACACCAGUUAAUUGACGGUGCCUGCAAAGGAAGCACCGGCUAACUCCGUGGCAUCAGCCUCGUUAAUACGGAGGGUGCGAUCGUUAAUCGGAAUUGCUUGGCGUAAAGCGCUCGUAGGCGGUAUUUCAAGUCAAGGGUGAAAUCCGCGCGCUCAACGUGGGAACUGCCGUUGAAACUGGCAAACUGGAGUGUGUGAGAGGAUAGUGGAAUGCGAGGUGUAGGAGUGAAAUCCAUAGAUAUCUGGAGGAACAUCAGUGGCGAAGGCGACUAUCUGGCACAUAACUGACGCUGAGGAGCGAAAGCGUGGGUAGCAAACAGGAUUAGAUACCCCUGUAGUC
rnacentral:rRNA from 1 species